rnacentral:rRNA from 1 species
UAACGCGUGAGGAACCUGCCUCAAAGAGGGGGACAACAGUUGGAAACGACUGCUAAUACCGCAUAAGCCCACGGUGCCGCAUGGCACAGAGGGAAAAGGAGCAAUCCGCUUUGAGAUGGCCUCGCGUCCAAUUAGCUAGUUGGUGAGGUAACGGCCCACCAAGGCGACGAUCGGUAGCCGGACUGAGAGGUUGAACGGCCACAUUGGGACUGAGACACGGCCCAGACUCCUACGGGAGGCAGCAGUGGGGAAUAUUGCACAAUGGGGGAAACCCUGAUGCAGCGACGCCGCGUGGAGGAAGAAGGUCUUCGGAUUGUAAACUCCUGUUGUUGAGGAAGAUAAUGACGGUACUCAACAAGGAAGUGACGGCUAACUACGUGCCAGCAGCCGCGGUAAAACGUAGGUCACAAGCGUUGUCCGGAAUUACUGGGUGUAAAGGGAGCGCAGGCGGGAAGACAAGUUGGAAGUGAAAUCCAUGGGCUCAACCCAUGAACUGCUUUCAAAACUGUUUUUCUUGAGUAGUGCAGAGGUAGGCGGAAUUCCCGGUGUAGCGGUGGAAUGCGUAGAUAUCGGGAGGAACACCAGUGGCGAAGGCGGCCUACUGGGCACCAACUGACGCUGAGGCUCGAAAGUGUGGGUAGCAAACAGGAUUAGAUACCCUGGUAGUCCACACUGUAAACGAUGAUUACUAGGUGU